GCUUUCGUGGCUCAGUUGGCUAGAGCGUUGGUCUCAUAUCGUCGAUAUGACGUAACUGUUAACAGUCACGUGAUCCAAAGGUCGCAAGUUCGAGCCUUGCCGAGAGCA
rnacentral:tRNA from 1 species